rnacentral:misc_RNA from 1 species
AACGCACAUUGCGCCCGCCAGCAUUCUGGCGGGCAUGCCUGCCCGAGCGUCAUCUACACCCCUCGCCCCCCUCUGCCGGGGGCGGUGUUGGGGACCGGGGCGGCGGAACCACUGGGAACCGCCGCCCCCUCCCUCAAGUCCAUUGGCGGUCCCGCCGGCGCCCUCCCGCGUAGUAUCACUACCCCGCGGGCCGGGUGCGCCCGGCGGCGGCACAGCCACUAAACACCCCAACGUCGGGCCGAGAGGCCCUGUGACCUUGACCUCGGAUCAGGUAGGAAUACCCGCUGAACUUAA